UGGGGAAUUUUGGACAAUGGGCGCAAGCCUGAUCCAGCCAUGCCGCGUGCGGGAAGAAGGCCUUCGGGUUGUAAACCGCUUUUGUCAGGGAAGAAAUCUUCUGAGUUAAUACCUCGGGAGGAUGACGGUACCUGAAGAAUAAGCACCGGCUAACUACGUGCCAGCAGCCGCGGUAAUGCGUAGGGUGCAAGCGUUAAUCGGAAUUACUGGGCGUAAAGCGUGCGCAGGCGGUUUUGUAAGACAGAGGUGAAAUCCCCGGGCUCAACCUGGGAACUGCCUUUGUGACUGCAAGGCUUGAGUGCGGCAGAGGGGGGAUGGAAUUCCGCGUGUAGCAGUGAAAUGCGUAGAUAUGCGGAGGAACACCGAUGGCGAAGGCAAUCCCCUGGGCCUGCACUGACGCUCAUGCACGAAAGCGUGGGGAGCAAAACAGGAUUAGAU
rnacentral:rRNA from 1 species